ACUUGAGUGCAGAAGAGGACAGUGGAACUCCAUGUGUAGCGGUGGAAUGCGUAGAUAUAUGGAAGAACACCAGUGGCGAAGGCGGCUGUCUAGUCUGUAACUGACGCUGAGGCUCGAAAGCAUGGGUAGCGAACAGGAUUAGAUACCCUGGUAGUCCAUGCCGUAAACGAUGAGUGCUAAGUGUUGGAGGGUUUCCCCCUUCAGUGCUGCAGCUAACGCAUUAAGCACUCCGCCUGGGGAGUACGACCGCAAGGUUGAAACUCAAAGGAAUUGACGGGGGCCCGCACAAGCGGUGGAGCAUGUGGUUUAAUUCGAAGCUACGCGAAGAACCUUACCAGGUCUUGACAUCUUCUGCCAAUCUUAGAGAUAAGACGUUCCCUUCGGGGACAGAAUGACAGGUGGUGCAUGGUUGUCGUCAGCUCGUGUCGUGAGAUGUUGGGUUAAGUCCCGCAACGAGCGCAACCCUUAUUAUCAGUUGCCAGCAUUCAGUUGGGCACUCUGGUGAGACUGCCGGUGACAAACCGGAGGAAGGUGGGGAUGACGUCAAAUCAUCAUGCCCCUUAUGACCUGGGCUACACACGUGCUACAAUGGACGGUACAACGAGUCGCGAAGUCGUGAGGCUAAGCUAAUCUCUUAAAGCCGUUCUCAGUUCGGAUUGUAGGCUGCAACUCGCCUACAUGAAGUUGGAAUCGCUAGUAAUCGCGGAUCAGCAUGCCGCGGUGAAUACGUUCCCGGGCCUUGUACACACCGCCCGUCACACCAUGAGAGUUUGUAACACCCAAAGCCGGUGAGAUAACCUUCGGGAGUCAGCCGUCUAAGGUGGGACAGAUGAUUAGGGUGAAGUCGUAACAAGGUAACCAAGGGCGAA
rnacentral:rRNA from 1 species